GGAUGGGUUCAGCAUGGAUCACAGUAAGUUACUAAUUGAACUGUGCUAUGUAAGAGGCAUAUAUGGACACAGAAAUUGUCUGUAGUUCACAUUAACCAGUAAUGUUACUCACUGAGCAGUGUACACAGAUCACAUUGUGCAAUUACAUUCAAUACGUGUAAAUAUCCUACAGUGCUGGCUCUAGAUUUUGUGAGGCCUUAGGUGAAACUCAAAUAUGAGGCCCCCACUAACACCCAUAGUGGAAAAAAAUAGUGUGUGUAUAAGGAGCUGUAAUUCUUUUGAAGGAUAGGCUUGCAGCACUGGAUACAGAUAGUUCGUCUCUGUAUUCAACGUUCAGAGGCUUGCAGCUUAGCAGCUCCCUGUUCCAUUGUGUUGUGAGCUCUCUGACUGCAAUUAUGGCAUCAUUUGAAAACCAAAUUAAUUAGCAAUUAUGCUUAUCCUGUAUACAGGAUUAAAGAGUAUGGUUAAAUUAUCUGGCAGUCAUGUAUGCUAGUUAACAGUGUGGAGGAAUAAUUGGAAAUAAAAAUGAAAUUUGAGUUGUGCCAAAAAAAACUUUUAAUAAAUAAUUUACGAAAGAAUAAGGUACAGAUAUGAAAAAAGACUUAGACAUUUUCUCCACAUAUUCUACAAUCCUUCCAAUUUAUUAUAUUUAUUUUCUUAUGUUGCUGCAUGUAUUGCAUAUGUAUGUCUGAUAUAUAUAUAUAUUAUAUGUUGCAACUUUACCUUUGCAUUGUGCAUACAAUACAAGACUCGAAUUGCAGCCAUCAACGUGCACACACAUACACACUCUGAUAUAUGCAUACUAACACAACUAACACACUGAUGCACAGAGACAUACAGAUAUAUCUGGUUGCGUGAAUUUCUGAGUGUGCCUGGCAUUGUCUACCCAUGUGUGUGCCUGUGAGUGUAUCACUGACAGUAAGUAUCAUUGUGUGUGAGCAUGUGUAUGUUUGUGUCUGAGUCCAUGUGUGUGUGGGGGAGCUGCUUGUGGUGUGUUGUGUGCAUGGGAGGUCUUUGUGCAUUAUGUUUAUGUAUAAGCUGUGUUUCAUGACUGUGUGUAUGAUGACUGUUUUCAGGGGGUGUUACAGGGUAUGUAAUGGAGUAACUGUGGGAGGGUAAGUGUGACCGGAUGAAAGGGGGUGAGAGAGACAGGAUUGGGGGGGGUGAGUGUUACAGAGUGAUGAAAGUUGAAUGUGGCAGGCUUAAUUGUGACUGUAACAUGGUUAGGGGGGUUAAAGUGACAGGGUUAGUGUGGCAUGGUUAGGGGAGGGAGUGUGACCGGAUUAGGGGUGUUAAUGUGGCAUGGUUGAAGGGGUGUGAGUAUAACAAGAUUGAGGGUUAGUAAGGCCUCACACUCACUAGGGCCUCACAGCCACCUAACUCACCUUAGGGCACACUGAUUUGUCCGUGACCAAGGGCCCAACACAGAGGGCCCAGCGGCUUGCCCUGUGUGUGGCUGGGUGUAGGGCGUACACAGCCUCUGGUCUACAGCUCCACUGGGUGCAGAGUUGCAGACCAUAGAGUAAUUGUCAAUGAGCGCCUUACCCCAGCAAUGCUCUGACACUUUAAAUGCUGGAGCUCAUAAGACAACACUCUCAUGGUCUGAAACUCUGCACCAGGCAAGCAAGAUCAGAUAGCCUGGUGACUGGACCACCAGGAGGGAGAUCACUGGAAGACCAAGGAAUCGAUUGCUGCAUAAAAAAGGUUUUACAGUGUGAGGAAGCUGAAACACUGCAUCCCCACACACUGUCACUUCACUUUCACCCGGCCACACUCACAACCCUCCAACUCUUAACCCCUCCUACUCCUGCCACACUCAUCCUAUCACAUUAACCCCCCCAACCCUUUCACACUCAUCCUCUAUAACGCUGUCACUCAGCACCUAUCCUCUUGCCACAUUCACACUAUCACAUUAAUCCCUCCAAUACUGUCACACUCACUCAUUUACAUUACCACCCCAAUCCUUUCACAUUUACCUCAUCUCGCUCUGUCACACUCAUCCACAACUCUCACACUCACACCCAACCUAUCACAAUCAUCCAGUAAGUUUAAGCUCUGUAAUAAUGUCACAAUCACUUCUAAUCCUGACACAGCCAACCUUCCUCACUCUAUCACAUUUAUAUCUCCAACCCUAUCUCUUUCACCCCAUCACCCUUUCACACUUACCUUCCCAUAGUUACCCCGUUACUCACUUUGUAAAAAAAAAAAAAAAAAAAAAGGUUUUUAGAAAAAUAAUUAUUCAGAGUAUGAAUUAGGCACUAUUAUUGGUAGAGUUAAAACUAAUGAAAGAUGCAGCCUUUUAACAUAUAUAGAUUUAAAAAAAGCUGCUCCUUCCAUUUCAAUUUUAUUGGAUUUUAACAACAAAGGAAGAGAUGUUAAAAGAUAUUGAGAUGUCUUACAGCAAGAUAAUGUCCUUAAUAAGAUGAUCCCUGACAACCAACUAUGAUAGUUAGAGGUGCUCCGAAUUUUAAAUCCCUUCUCACUAAACAUUUUGCAAGAAAUAAGACAACUAAAUUCUCUUCUCUAUCUAAUGUUAAUGGUUUCUUUAAUGCAGAAAAUGUAUUGUAUGUAAAACAACACAGGCGUCUUCAGGGAGUGUUACAGGGUGAGAAAUGGGGUAACUGUGGGAGGGUAAGUGUAACAGGGUUAAAGAGACCGGGUUGGCGGGUGAGUGUUUCAGUGUGAUGGAAGUUGAGUGUGGCAGGAUUAGGGGUUGUAAUGGAACUGCUGGCAGAGUGCUUGGAGUCCUCGGAAAGCACUAGGAGUAUCCGUCAGCGGAAGGUACCUGGUCGGGGUGCCAGCGGUUCCGUUACAGGGGUGAAUAGAGUUGAGCGGACACGGACUGUAAAGUUUGGGUUCGUACCGAACAUUACGUUUUUUGGAUCCCGGACCCAAACGACAUAUCACUGUAUGUUAGGGUUGGAGUUCGGUGUUCGGCGAUUUAAUGGCAGCCAAUUAACAAGCGUUUGACUUGUAUUCCCUUAGAAGCCAUCACACCCAUGCCUACUAAUGGCAUGGCUGUGAUUGACCAGUGCAGCAUGUGACCCAGCCUCUAUAUAUAAGAUGGAGUCAUGUAGCGCCGCACGCACAUGAGGUCUUAUUAGUGUAGGGAGAAGAUGCUGCUGCUGUGAGGGACAGCUUAGGAAAGAAUUCUGCAAGCUAGUACAUUAGUGGGGUGCACUUCAUAUCUGAGAGUCAAAUAGAAGCGUCAAAUACCGCGGUUACAUCAGAGUUUUAAAAAGUCAAUUUUUUGGGUGCUAAACAGUACAUUAGUGGGGUGCACUUCAUUUUUGAGAGUUAAAUAGAAGCAUCAAAUAGUGCGCUCACAGCGCUAUUGUAAACAUUCUUAUUUUCUGGGUGCAAAUCUGCUAAAUAGUACAUUUUGUGCGUGCUCUUCAUAUCUGAGAGUCAAAUAGAAGCGUCUAAUAGUGUGCUUAUAGCACAGUUGUAAACAUUCUAAUUGUUUUGCUGCUAAUCUGCUAAAUAGUACAUUUUGGGGCCUGCUCUUCAUAUCUGAGCGUCAUAUACUGUGGUUACAUCGUAGUUUUAUUCAAAUUUUUUUGGUGGUAAAUAGUACAUUUGGGGUGUGCACUUCAUUGUGUGCAACACUGGCUAGUUACUGCUUCUCAAGAAAGUCUAAAGACAAAUAAAUGUUGCCUAUGGUGCAGGUAGUAUAGAAGGCAAGACUGAGACAAAUCAUUUGGGCUACGUUUGCCUGUUGACAUGUUAAUUAUCUAAGACCAUUAAAAUUCAAUAAUCAAUGAAAAAACACACUGUUCCAUACAAAAAUAUGUAUUAUAGACAAGUUAAAAACAAGACAAGUCAUGCUAUAACAAAAUUAAACAAGUUUUAAAAUAAGUAUGGUCCAACCAGUGGCAGUAAAAACAAAGUUUUACUGGUUACAUUCAUGACUACACACUCUAGUGAACAGAACCUUCAUGUAGUGUGUUAUUUUUUUUUAUUUUUUUUAAAUCAUACAGCAUCCUUUCAUGUGCUUUUCAGAUGUCAUAUUGUUAAUUACCAAAUUUUGUUUAUCCUGAUUUUUUUUACAAAGUGAAAAAUAAGUGUUAUUGUGAUCGCUUCAUAUACAGAAGCAUUAAUAUACAUUUCUAUAUUGUGUAAAGACACAACUACAAAGUUAAAAACCAAACACCAAAACAACGUGCCAGACAAGCUACCUGUGCAUGUCUAGUGUGAUACAAUAAGUCUACAUCUUAAAAAUGCAAUAACCCACAUAAGAUGGGCGAGAAUUUUUUUUUGCAAAUGGAACUUUGAUUCGAAUUUCGUACAUCGGUCACUUGUGAUAUGGUUUCACACCUACAACACUUGUUAAACAGAUCUAAGUGAUAGAAAACAGAUUGAUAUUUUAUACACUAGAAACUACCAGAUAACAAGCUGCUAUAUUUAAACCAGUUAUCAAUAGCUAAGAGGUACUUCAACAAUAUUGUAAUUCUGGGCAAUACCCUCACAAGUCAAACUGAGAGGUCAGUUUAUGGGAAACUGUUACCUGGAUACAAUUCUAAAACAAUUUCCAUAUGUACUUUGCAGACUUUACAUGCUGGAAAAACACAGGUGCCAGCUGCUGUGGCUUUCUGCAGUGCAGACCAGCAAGGAGGGCAGGGUUGAGGAGUGAGUGUAAGAUGACGUGGAGGAUGAUGAGGUCCUAGACCCGACAUGGAAUCAAGGUCAUGCGAGUGACGUGUGCAGUUUGGAGGAAGAGGCGCUGGUCGCACAGAGGCACCAGCACAGCAUAAGAGGGAGCAGGC